GUAAGUGCGAGUGCUCUGGACAAAUACUGCUUGAGUUCCAGUCUUUGUUCCACUAAUUCACAGCUAUGGGUCGUAAACUCUACGGGCAAAACCUUUAAAUUCUCUAUUAUUUACCUCAUCAUGAUAAUGAGAAAAACUAUAGCAAGUACCACAUUAGGUAGUUCUGACAAAUUCAUCCUUUUGCAUGCAAAGUACAUGGUAUAAACUCUGUAAAUGUGCCAUCUUUGUUGGACAGUCAGGACAGUGUGAAUAACCUGGGACUCAAGAUUCAGACUCCCAGCAUAUUUUUCAGCUACUUCAGCCAAGAUAAGUGCAUUUGCAGUUGAUGCAGAUCAUACGUUGUACAGGUAAAUCAUUAAAAUGGCAUCAUUCUCUUUCACAUUCAUUUUUUCUUUGCUUGUUUGGUUACUAAAAAGAUGUAUUAAAAUUGUCCACUAAGAGUCUGGAUUUAGGAUUUUCAUCAGUUGUGUAUCUGAUACAAUGUUAUUAAAUGUAUACAAAAUUUGAAGUUAUAUAUUCCUGUGAAUUACAAUUUAAUGUUUAUGUACCAUUCCUUUUUAUCUCCAGCAAAGUGUUUAUCCUUACUAUAAACUUUGUCUACAAUCAAGAGAGUCCACAGCACCUGUUCGGCUUUUUCCCAUCCUACUACUUUGAGUGUUUCUGUAUUUUCAUGUUGUGUGUAUUUUAAACAGGAUGUUUCAUUCUGAUUGUAAUGAAGUCUUAUAGCCUUUGACUUUCAGUCUUUAAACUGCUUUCAUUUAAUCUAAUUAAGUUGUAUGUAGAUUUUCUAUAUUAGUCUUACACUUAGUUUUUAGUGCUUUCUAUAUUUUAUUAUUUUAUCUUUCCAUUCUUUUAUUCUCAUUGGUUUUAAUAUUUUUGUUCUAUUUUCCCUUUUAUAAUCUUGUUACUUUUAUGUUGAACUCUUUUGUCAAAAGCCCCUUGUUGGGAAAGUCUAGAGACUUUGUAUAUCAAAUACAAAGCACUGUGCCUCUGAGCCUAGGAUUUGCUGUUACAAAGAAUUAAUGAGAAGGUGGCUAAACUGCAUAGGAAAACCAUUUCUGUAUUUAUAGAGUAAGCUAUUAAUGCCAUUGUAAGAAUUACCAAUAUAGUGCUUUGUAAGUCCUCUAAGAUCUGCAUCUGUCACAUUUGGCCAGACCCACUUGAACAGUCCUUUUCAUUAGAUGCUAAUUACUGGCUUCUGUGCGAGGGACAGAAAGAUUAUUCACACAACUCACAUCCACACAACAGCCAAUCCUGUUAGGCUUUGACCUUCAGCUUUCAGCUCUGUAUUUACUUUAUUACAUAAACAUAAAUAUUAUAUUGUGAUGUAUAUUCUUUUAUAUAUUUUUUUCAAAUACAUAACUCUUAUACAUAUAUAUUUUUAUAUAUAUAAUUCUUAAAUAUAUAUUUCCAAAUAUAAAUUAUUUCAUGUCAAGCUAAACAGGAUAAAAACAUGUAAACAUAUACACUUGGUUUUGGUCAAGUAAAACACAAAAUCACAAGUUCAUCACAGUUUAACAAGUGCACUUGAAGGGGAAGGAGGGAAAGAACAAACUGUAAACAAACAGAUGAGCAGCUGCAAAGCCCUGCAAGGGUCCAUUUGUUAAGGCUAUUAUAGCACAAAGCUACUAGUUCAAUUAAAACUUCUCCUUUCACUCUGCCACAUUUACUCUUGAGGGUCUUCAAAAUAAGUGUGGAAAUUCAGUAAACACUACACUAGAACUGAGUUAAUCCUGUUGACAACAGAGAUGACAAAAAAAAGCCAUAAGCUGACAUUAAUAUUAAUUUCACCAAAACAGUAACUUUAAGGACUUAUUUUUUAACACAG
rnacentral:lncRNA from 1 species